GGCCUCGUGGCCCAAUGGCAAGGCGUCUGACUACGACAAUUCUAGGGGUCAAACCCGCCGGAGAAAUCGCGAUCAGGAGAUUCUGGGUUCGACCCCCAGCGAGGUCA